rnacentral:rRNA from 1 species
UAGGGAACCUUCCGCAAUGGACGAAAGUCUGACGGAGCAACGCCGCGUGAGUGAUGAAGGCUUUCGGGUCGUAAAACUCUGUUGUUAGGGAAGAACAAGUACGAGAGUAACUGCUCGUACCUUGACGGUACCUAACCAGAAAGCCACGGCUAACUACGUGCCAGCAGCCGCGGUAAUACGUAGGUGGCAAGCGUUAUCCGGAAUUAUUGGGCGUAAAGCGCGCGCAGGCGGUUUCUUAAGUCUGAUGUGAAAGCCCACGGCUCAACCGUGGAGGGUCAUUGGAAACUGGGGAACUUGAGUGCAGAAGAGAAAAGCGGAAUUCCACGUGUAGCGGUGAAAUGCGUAGAGAUGUGGAGGAACACCAGUGGCGAAGGCGGCUUUUUGGUCUGUAACUGACGCUGAGGCGCGAAAGCGUGGGGAGCAAACAGGAUUAGAUACCCUGGUAGUCCACGCCGUAAACGAUGAGUGCUAAGUGUUAGAGGGUUUCCGCCCUUUAGUGCUGCAGCUAACGC